rnacentral:misc_RNA from 1 species
AAACCCUCAAGCUCUGCUUGGUGUUGGGCGCCUGUCCCGCCUCGGGCGCGGACUCGCCUCAAAAGCAUUGGCGGCCUGUGUAUAGGCUUCGAGCGCAGCAGACUCGCGCCUCGCAACCCUCUGGCACGGGCGUUCCAUCAAGACGCACCCCCAAA